AAGGCUCUUCUGUGUCUUCCUGACCAGCUGCUCUGUUCCCAGCUUAGAGGACCAGAGGGAGAAGCCACCUGCUACACGCUGGAUGCUGCAGCCUGUGCCACUGUGGCUCACAUCGCUGUGGUUGGUGGCAGCAACGGAGACUGCAGCCAGCUGGAGUGCCAGAAGAGGAAUCCUCCCCCAUUGUCAUCCUACCUUUAAGGCAUCCAGCAUUUUGCCUGGAAAUCACCAACCUGAUUAUCGACCAUGCAGAGACCUCCUGCCCUUGUGGGGUCACUCCCCAAACCUCAGCAUUUUCAGAGGCUUUAAGAACUCACAAGCAUCCUCUGAUAAAGUGGCUUAUAAUUUGUACAAAGCCUGCAUGGAAAGUGGUAGAGGAGAGGUCCGAGGGAAGUCACAUUAAUCCUGUGAGUGGCCAUGUAGGCAUUGAUAGGACAGAAUCACUUCUUGUGUGUUAACCACGAAGAGCGCUUAGCAGGCUUUGCGCAGAAGCUGUCCUGGGCUGUGGUGAGAGCUCUCUGUCAUGGCCCCAUCAUCAGCACUUAGGUGACAGGGAAGGGGCACUGUCCAGGGCUGCAGGGGCCAGCCGUGAUGGGGACCUAGGUGUGCUCAUCUUUAGUGGUUCUGACGGUGUGAGAGGCUAUUCCAGCCAUGGACACAGGGCUAUGGGAUCUGGCUUUGAUGCUGCUGUCUCUGGGCAGGAACUCCAGGCAGGAGGCCUCUACCCAAAUACUAUGGCCAGGGAAACCAAACAGUAUGUUAUUUUUCGCGGGCGUGCAAAGCAUUGUGGAAACCAGCCUGAAACGCGUGGCUGAGGCCCGUGGCUUGAUGGGUCCUCCUAGCUCCUGUGGUCUUCCCUGGCUGGAUGCACGGGGGAGAUGAGUGUCCUCACGUUUUUGACAGUGGAGUGAAGAGAGCUGGCCAGGCCCACCCAGGGGUCACCACAUGGAGCAGGACGGAAAGUAAAAAACAGGAAGAUAAAAAACAGGAAGAAGAAGGAAGGUGAAAAACAGAGACCUUCGAACACCCAGGAGCCCUGCUCACCGAUACCUGUGGGCUGACGGUGACUGGACUCAGCUGCUACCUCGCUCCUUCAUAGAAGAGCCGCAGGAGGGAGGAGCGGGUCCCCUCCACCAGGGCCGGCAGCCAGAGGCCUGCACCUUCAACCCCCUAGCCACAAAAAGUAGCAUUUGCUGGGAAGUGGAGGAGGGAGAAGGAGAGGGAGGGACUGAUUAAAGUAUACAAAAUUACAGCUAGAUAGGAGGAAUAAUUUCUAGUGUUCUACAGCACUGUAGGGUGGGAUUUUGAAUGUUUCCAACCCAAACACAUGAUCACUAUUUGAGGUGAUGGGUAAGCUAAUUACCCUGACUUGAUCACUAUGCACAGUAUGCAUCAAAACUCACUCAAUAUACCCCAUAGACGUGUACAAUUAUUAUGUAUCAGUUUUUAAACAUGUUUUUCAAAUGUUUUUUAAAAUCCUUGGGGUGGGAGGGGUGGGGGCAAGGGGAGGGAGAGCAUUAGGACAAAUACGUAAUGCAUGCAGGCCUUAAAACCUAGGUAACAAACUUGCAUGUCUGCACGUGUAUCCCAGAACUUCAAGUAAAAAAAAAACAAUUCCUUGGGGGAAAGGAUGCAUAUAUUUUCAAGAAGCGUGGGUGAAUGUAUUAUAAAUUAAUUUAAAAGUCAGUGGCUUCUGAGUUAGGACUUAGUAAGUAUAGAGUUUCAGUUUUCCAAGGGGUCAAGAGUUGUGGAGCUGGAAGGUGGUGCUCGCUGCUUGGCAUCAUGAGAGUGGGUAAUAACGCUGAGCUGCGCACCUCAGAAUGGUUGGGAUCGUAAGUUUCAUGUGUAUGUUGCCACAAUUUAAAAAAUUGAAAAAAAAAAAUCAGUGGCUCUUUCCCUACCUAAGAGAUUUGUGAAGACUUGUCCCGAGGUAGGAUUCUGGACUUUCUAACCCCAGGCGUCCUCUGGGCAUCCGCUUCUCCCUAAGCCCUAAGGUUCCCUUCCCCGUGACCUCUAGGGCGAGAGCCUGAAAGAGUGGUUGGACAGCUGGUCCAAUUCAUUCAGGUAAAGGACUUCAUUCGCUUUAAGUGUCAACUCUUUUGGCUUUCACCUUUUUGGGUAGCCUGUUUUCGUAGAGCUCACUUUUUGUUCUCAAGCUCCCCGAGCACAAUGCAUUUUGUGAGCCAAAUCAUUAAAAUAGGACAUUUGUUUUUUGUUUUUUCUUUUGGCCACAA
rnacentral:lncRNA from 1 species